rnacentral:rRNA from 1 species
GACGAACGCUGGCGGCGUGCUUAAUACAUGCAAGUCGAACGGUGAAGCGACUUCCUUUCUGGUGGGAGUGGAUGAGUGGCGAACGGGUGAGUAACACGUGAGUAACCUGCUACGUUCUGCUGGACAACCGCAUGAAAGUGUGGCUAAUACGGGAUAUAUUGGGUCUGUUGCAUGAUGGGUCUGGGAAGGAUAUUGUUUCGGUGGGGGAUGGGUUCGCGGCUUAUCAGCUUGUUGGUGGGGUGAUGGCCUACCAAGGCGGUGAGGGGUAGCCGGCCUGGGAGGGUGGGCCGCCAUGCAGCGACGGAGAGGCGGAGAAGACUCCGACGGGAGGCAGCAGGGGGUAUUAUUGCACGAUGGGCAGAAGCCUGGUGCAGCGACGCCGCGGGAGGGAUGGUGGCCUGCUGGUUGUGAACUUCUUUCGCCAGUGAAGCAGGCCUGCCUCGUUUGUGCGUGGGUUGACGGUAGCUGGAUAAGAAGCGCCGGCUAACUACGUG